rnacentral:rRNA from 1 species
UACGGAGGGUGCAAGCGUUAAUCGGAAUUACUGGGCGUAAAGCGUGCGCAGGCGGUUUGUUAAGUCUGUUGUGAAAUCCCCGAGCUCAACUUGGGAAUUGCAAUGGAUACUGGCAGGUUGGAGUAUGGUAGAGGAAGGUGGAAUUCCCGGUGUAGCAGUGAAAUGCGUAGAGAUCGGGAGGAACACCAGUGGCGAAGGCGGCCUUCUGGACCAAUACUGACGCUCAUGCACGAAAGCGUGGGGAGCAAACAGG